AGCGAACGCUGGCGGCAGGCCUAACACAUGCAAGUCGAACGAACUCUUCGGAGUUAGUGGCGGACGGGUGAGUAACACGUGGGAACGUGCCUUUAGGUUCGGAAUAACUCAGGGAAACUUGUGCUAAUACCGAAUGUGCCCUUCGGGGGAAAGAUUUAUCGCCUUUAGAGCGGCCCGCGUCUGAUUAGCUAGUUGGUGAGGUAAAGGCUCACCAAGGCGACGAUCAGUAGCUGGUCUGAGAGGAUGAUCAGCCACAUUGGGACUGAGACACGGCCCAAACUCCUACGGGAGGCAGC
rnacentral:rRNA from 1 species